rnacentral:lncRNA from 1 species
AUAGACUGAUACACCUCCCCACAGCGUCACCGCUACUCUCCCCUUCCUUCCAUCCCCCACCCGAACCAGCGAUGGCGGCAGUCUCCCCCGCGGCCGCCUGCUCCGCCGUUUCUUCGAGGGUGGCCUCUCUCCCUUCCUCCUCGCCCACCUCCAAGUCCAUCUCUCUCCGCUCCCUUUUCAUCUCCCUCCCCACCCAACACCUCCGCCUGGGGCGCCGCCGGUCGCUGGGAAGAGGGGGAUAUGAUGUCACCGGCGGCGCGGCGCCCCGCGGGGCCUCCGUGGUGUCCAUGAGCCUGGAGGCCGGCAUCGGCGUGAUGGGCACGAAGCUUGGGAUGAUGACCUACUUCGAGCCCGAGGGCGCGGCCGUGCCCGUCACCGUCGUCGGCUUCCGUGAGGGCAACAUCGUGAC